GCUCUAUUCGUCUAAUGGUGAGGACAUCUGCCUUUCGAGCAGGGAAUAAGGGUUCGAUUCCCUUAUAGAGUA
rnacentral:tRNA from 1 species